rnacentral:lncRNA from 1 species
UAGAUCUUCUUGUGUCUGGACAUCCAGCCCAAUCAUCGUAUGUGUAAGAUACAAGCUUGUCAAUAGAGGAAGAAUAUAGGUGGAUGCCGAAUUCAACAUUACCAUGAAUGUAAUAAAUGAUCCUUUUUUAAGGCAAACAUGUGUUGUGUUUUUGGAUCAUGCAUAAAGAGGUACACUUGCUGAACAACAUUAGAUAUAUUUGGUCUUGUACAUGUCAAGUAUUAUAAUGCACCUGCAAGACUACGAUGUCCUGUCAUAUCACAAUAUGGAUCACCUAAGAACCCGAUGAGUUUAGAUUUGCUAUUCAUCGGUGUUGGGGUGGCUUACAUGAGGAAAUUCAUGCACGUUCAACAAUCCCUUAUGUAUAUUUCUUCUAAGAGAGAAAAGUAGCUCCCGAAUGUGGAGU